AAUACGACAUCCCUAAUUCGCUAAACCCGUCUUGGAGCCCAAGUAUCAUCCCACUCCCCGAAAAGUCCAAAGGAGACAAAUCUGGUAACUUUGCAUCUCCUCUUAGAUAUUGUAACACUUGUCUCAUACUUGGUCUAGCCCUCGGGUCCGGGUGAGAGCACAAGAGACCUAGCUUCAGAACCAUUUCCACCUCCUUUUCGUCAUACUCAUAACCCAUGUUAGGGUCCUUAGCAUCCAAGAUGUUUCCCUUGUUCCAUAACCCG
rnacentral:lncRNA from 1 species